CCGGGGAUGAAGGCUGAGAGAACGAACACGUUCCCCUAUUUUCUCUGGAAUUAAACGGUGUCUGACAACAUAGAGCCUGUAGGCCAGAGCCGUCGGCUCUCGGAUGGAAGGAGCCACCGCAUGCUGGACCAUAUGCUGCAUCACAGAAUCAAUCUGCCGUUGCACCUACAGAUAACGAGCACCACCAAAGCAGUAGAGCAAGGUCAAAUGUGCGAAGAGAUACCUUUGGCCUUUUAAUUGUGUUUUCUCCGAUGCGUCAGGGGAAGUAGUUAUGUUGGAUUAGAAAGGGUCUCCGAUGAUCUCGUUUUUUUAAACGGAAUCGUGUGGGUUUUGUUUUUUUAAAAGGAAUCGUGUGUGUCUUGGUUUGUUCCUACGAAACCAAACGGCAAGCUAACGUGGUUGGAUUCAGUUCGUGAUUGUUGUAUGGAUGCCGAUGGGUGCCGUGGCAUUUCGUGAUUGUAUAGGAUGAGUUCGGCCUGCUGGCAGGGUGCUGGGCUUGCUAGGUGGUGAGACAGGGGCGUGGGAUCGGGCGAGGCGAGCGUGGGGUGAGGGAUCGAGCGAGGCGGGAAGGAAAGGUUGACAGGCGACGAAAACGCGUGGUGAAGGGAACGGUCAAAAAAAUUUAGAUAGAGAUAGGUAUAGAUUUGGUGUCAAAAUUUAUCCCAAGCAAAUAGGUAAUGCCCAAAAAUUUAGAUCUACAUGCCA
rnacentral:lncRNA from 1 species